rnacentral:misc_RNA from 1 species
GGCACGAAGUGAGCCGCGAUGCGCCGCGCAUCGGAGUGAAGUGAGCCUCAGUGCGCGCGCCGCCCAUCGCCACAGCCGCCCAUGUUCCACCUGCCAUCAAAACCUUUGCAUUAAAAAAAUAAUAUUAAAAAAAAAAACACAAUCAAGGCGUGUUCUUAAUUUGAAAAUUGUAAUUGUCAUUUGUUAAUUCAAGAUGGUGGUAUUUGAGUGUGUGAUGCGUCGCGAUCAAGACGUGUCUUAGAGACAAUAUGUUUCGCUUAGUGCACGGGACCUAGGUUGUACUGUAUUGUGAAGUGAAUUAGUGUUGUGUGUGACUUGUAUUGUUGCUGAGGCUGCUCCGAACCCUGGGACCAACAUACACCAAGAUCGUCAAAAUCUGCGACAUUGCCACAACUCAGAAGUUUUCAUACAUUUUCUAAAAUAAAAUAAAUCAUCAUCAAAAAUCUUAAAUUAGUGAUGAAUGUUCAGUAGUGUGGUAAAAAACGUCGCAUGGAAGUGCAGUGCUUCGGUUCGAUUCUCCGGCUGAGCAAACAGAAGAAUAGCAGGUCAAGAUGAGCGUCGUAGAUGGCGGGGGCCCGGAGGAGCCGGCCCUCACGGCGCCAGCGACCACCCCCACCACGCCGCCCCCCUCCGCUCUCGCUCCAGAUGGCACCGCACAACUCAUACAGGUCCCAGUCGCCCCCCGGAAGCCGCCCCGCCGAGGUCCCAAGGUCCAGCAGGAGAGGCCCAAGAGAGCGCUGUUCUGUCUCACGCUCAAGAACCCCAUGAGGAAAGCCUUCAUCGACAUCGUGGAGUGGAAACCUUUUGAGUACAUGAUUCUGACCACCAUCUUCGCCAAUUGCAUCGCCCUCGCCGUCUACACACCCUAUCCUGCCAGCGACUCUAAUUAUACCAACUGGGUUCUUGAAAAGAUCGAAUACGUGUUCUUAGUUAUAUUCACCGGUGAAUGCGUUAUGAAAAUCAUAGCGUACGGGUUUAUCAUGCAUGCUGGCUCCUAUCUCAGAAACGGGUGGAAUUUAUUGGAUUUCACUAUCGUCGUUAUAGGAAUGGUCAGCACGGUGUUAUCAAGUAUAUUCAAGGACGCGUUUGACGUGAAAGCGUUGAGGGCGUUCAGGGUGCUUCGCCCCUUGCGACUGGUCUCCGGCGUGCCAAGUCUUCAGAUCGUGUUGAACUCGAUCCUGAAGGCGAUGGUGCCGCUGCUGCACAUCGCGCUGCUGGUCAUCUUCGUCAUCAUCAUCUACGCCAUCAUCGGUCUCGAGCUGUUCUCCGGCAAGAUGCAUAAGAGCUGCUAUAAUAAAUAUACAGACGAGAUAAUGGACACCCCUCACCCUUGCGACCUGGACAACGGCUUCAACUGCUCCCUCAUCGGCGAGGAGAUGGAGUGCAGGGAAGGCUGGAUCGGCCCCAACUUCGGCAUCACCAACUUUGAUAACUUCGGCCUCUCCAUGCUAACUGUCUUCCAGUGCAUCACUCUUGAAGGCUGGACUGAUGUUAUGUAUAAUAUACAAGACGCGAUGGGCAACAGUUGGGAAUGGAUAUAUUUCGUGUCUAUGGUCAUCUUGGGAGCUUUUUUCGUUAUGAACCUCAUUCUUGGUGUGUUGUCUGGAGAGUUCUCAAAAGAAAGAGAAAAGGCGAAGAACAGGGGCGACUUCCAGAAACUUCGAGAGAAGCAACAGUUAGAAGAAGACCUGAAGGGCUACCUCGACUGGAUCACGCAGGCGGAGUACCUGGAACCGCUGGCUGAUCAGCAUGAACAUCAUCCACCAGUGGAACAGACUAGGGACUAUGGGAUAGAAUACAUUUCAGGUCAGACACAGAAUGAGCACGACUCGACAGACCACCUCGGUAUAGAGACCAAUGAACAGCAGAAAGUAUCCAUUUGCAAAGUUUGGAAGAAGGAUUUCGACAAAGUGAACCGUCGCAUGAAGCGAGCUUGUAGAAAAGCGGUGAAAUCUCAAACCUUCUACUGGCUGAUCAUAGUGCUCGUGUUUUUGAAUACAGUCGUGUUAGCUAGUGAACACUAUCAGCAGCCAGAAUGGUUGGAUCUCUUUCAAGAAUACGGCAACGCAUUCUUCGUGGCUCUCUUCACGCUGGAAAUGUUAGUCAAGAUGUACAGCUUGGGUUUGCAAUUGCCCCCCAACAUGUUCCAGGGUUACUUCGUCUCGUUGUUCAACCGGUUCGACUGUUUCGUGGUGAUCGGGUCUAUCAGUGAGAUGGUGCUCACGAAGACUGAGGUGAUGCCGCCUCUUGGUAUCUCUGUGUUGAGGUGUGUCAGGCUGCUGAGGGUCUUCAAGGUUACCAAAUAUUGGCGCUCACUCUCCAACCUGGUAGCGUCUCUCCUCAACUCCAUCCAGUCGAUCGCAUCACUCUUGCUGCUGCUGUUUCUGUUCAUCAUGAUCUUCGCGCUGCUGGGCAUGCAGGUCUUCGGUGGGAAGUUCAACUAUGACCCAGUGGAGGAGAAGGAUCGGCAUAACUUUGAUUGCUUCUGGCAAGCUUUGCUGACUGUAUUUCAGAUUCUAACAGGUGAAGAUUGGAACGCGGUAAUGUACGAAGGCAUUAAGGCUUAUGGUGGUGUGGGCACGCCCGGGAUUCUAGCUUGUAUUUACUUCAUCAUUCUCUUCAUUUGCGGUAACUACAUCCUACUGAACGUGUUCUUGGCCAUCGCCGUAGAUAACUUAGCAGACGCCGAAUCAUUGACCAAUAUAGAAAAAGAAGAAACGGCGCCUGAAGAGAAAGAAGGUGGUAGUGUGGCAGCAGCUGAAGGUGUACAUAUAGAUACUGAUGAUGAAUAUAUACAUGAUGAUGAUGUGUACACGUCGGACAACUCUGAAAGAGAAUACGAAGAAACAGGUUCAGAGGGAGAGCAACAAGAUGAGAUAGAUGGAGAAAUUGAUGAAAUCAUAGACGAAGAGAAUGAAGCCAUCGAGAGAGCUGAAGAGGAACAAGAGAGGGAGGACCAGGAGAUGAUGGAGGGUCACCAGAGAAACCAUAUAGUGAACACAGAGUUGGAUGAAGAGCCUCGACUGAAACGUAAGCCUACGACUUCAUCAGCGCGGCCGCGACGCCUCUCAGAAGUCGAUAUAUGCGACACUAAGAAACCCAUACCUGAUGCCACCUCCUUCUUCAUAUUUGCUAAGACCAACAGGUUUCGAGUGUUUUGCUACAAGAUGUCAUCAUCAUCGACCUUCGGGAACAUCAUUCUCGUGUGCAUCAUGCUGUCUUCCGCCAUGUUGGCUGCUGAAGACCCGCUGGAUGCUGCACAGAAUGGGUUUAGGAACUGGUUGCUAAGUCAAUUCGACGUGUUCUUCACGGGCAUCUUCACACUGGAGCUGUUCCUGAAGCUGAUCACGUACGGGCUGAUCCUCCACCAGGGUGCCUUCCUGCGCUCCGCCUUCAACGUGCUCGAUAUGCUCGUCGUCUGCGUCUCUUUAGUCUCUAUGAGUUUUAAGUCGGGUAGUAUAUCGGUGGUGAAAAUAUUGCGAGUGUUUAGGGUGCUGAGGCCUUUGAGGGCCAUCAACAGGGCCAAGGGCCUUAAGUAUGUGGUGAAGUGUGUGAUAGUAGCGAUUAAGACUAUAGGAAAUAUAAUGCUAGUUACGUAUUUAUUACAAUUUAUGUUUGCUGUGGUCGGUGUACAGUUGUUUAAGGGCAAAUUUUUUAGGUGUAAUGAUAUUUCUAAAAUGACAAAGGAUGAAUGUCAGGGAACGUAUUUAGUAUUUGAGAAUCGCAACUAUAUGGUGAGAGACAGGGAAUGGACGCGUUAUGAUUUCCAUUUUGAUAACGUGAUGAAAGGAAUGCUCACUCUGUUCACUGUGUCUACUUUUGAAGGAUGGCCAGGGCUAUUGUACGUCUCUAUAGAUUCGAAUGCUGAAGAUCGGGGUCCCAUAACUAACUUCCGUCCAAUUGUUGCAGCCUACUAUAUUAUUUAUAUUAUUAUAAUUGCCUUCUUUAUGGUAAAUAUAUUCGUCGGUUUCGUCAUAGUAACCUUCCAAAACGAGGGUGAGCAAGAAUAUAAAAACUGUGAAUUAGAUAAAAACCAGAGGAACUGCAUAGAAUUUGCACUCAAAGCUAAACCUAUUAGAAGAUACAUACCAAAACACAGGAUCCAAUACAAAGUAUGGUGGUUUGUAACGUCACAGCCGUUUGAAUACGCCAUCUUCGUGCUGAUUAUGAUAAACACCAUCACCCUCGCCAUGAAGUACCACAACCAGCCCCAUGAGUACAGCAAGGCGUUGGACUUGUUGAACAUGCUGUUCACGGCUGUUUUUGCGUUGGAAUUCAUAUUUAAAUUAGCUGCUUUUAGGUUUAAGAAUUACUUCGGCGACGCCUGGAAUACGUUCGACUUCAUCAUCGUGCUUGGCAGCAUCAUCGACAUCGUCGUCUCCCAAGUAAACGAACUCAAGAACCAGGGAAGUGGCAUGCCUAGGACACACGUUGUCAAGGAAAGCUCAAUACCAUCAAUAAACUUCUUCCGACUCUUCCGAGUAAUGAGGCUGGUGAAGCUGCUAUCCAGGGGUGAAGGCAUCAGGACAUUGCUCUGGACUUUCAUCAAAUCAUUUCAAGCACUGCCAUAUGUCGCUCUACUUAUCCUCAUGCUGUUCUUUAUUUAUGCUGUAGUUGGGAUGCAGGUGUUCGGAAAAAUAGCAAUAGAUGAUGACUCACCCAUCACAAGAAAUAAUCACUUCCAGACAUUUCCUCAAGCUUUACUUGUUCUAUUUCGAUCUGCGACUGGUGAGGCAUGGCAAGAUAUAAUGAUGGGAGUAUCCCCGGAGCCUGAAGUGAAAUGUGAUAAGAACUACCACGAGGAAGGUGAUGUGGAAGUGGAAGACACUGGUGGUACAUGCGGCAGCGUACUCGCCUUUCCAUACUUCAUUAGUUUCUAUGUACUCUGUUCUUUUUUGAUCAUCAAUUUGUUUGUGGCUGUCAUUAUGGAUAAUUUUGACUAUUUAACUAGAGACUGGUCAAUAUUGGGACCACACCACUUAGAUGAAUUUAUAAGAUUAUGGAGUGAAUAUGACCCUGAUGCCAAGGGUAGAAUAAAACAUUUAGAUGUAGUUACUUUAUUAAGAAAAAUAAGCCCACCUUUAGGUUUCGGUAAGUUAUGUCCGCACCGCGUGGCGUGCAAAAGACUUGUGUCUAUGAACAUGCCGCUGAACUCUGACGGCACCGUACUCUUCAAUGCCACGCUAUUUGCCGUCGUUAGAACCUCUCUCAAGAUCAAAACUGAAGGCAACAUAGACGACUGCAACACAGAACUAAGAGCGGUCAUCAAAAAGAUUUGGAAGCGAACAUCUCCAAAACUGCUAGACCAAGUAGUACCACCGCCGGGAGAUCCAAACGAAAUCACUGUGGGCAAGUUCUAUGCCACCUUCCUAAUACAGGACUACUUCAGAAGGUUCAAAAAGAGAAAAGAGCAGGAGAUGAGGCAGAGUGACGAGCAAACGCACCAGAUGACACUGCAGGCUGGGCUGAGGACUCUACACGAGGCGGGCCCUGAACUGAAAAGAGCAAUCUCUGGGAAUUUGGACGAUAUUUCUGCUGAAUGUGAUGUGCCUAUGCAUAGGAGAAACCACUCCUUAUUUGGAGGUGUCUGGUCGAGCAUACGAAGGCAUGGACCAAACAGACACUUUCACAGACAUAGAAAACAUGGAGAACCUCCAACAGAUGAUCAAAUAAAAGUUUCAUCGUCCGCCGAAGAACUACUAGAAAAAAAUGAUGGAGGCGGCGCUGGCAGCGCGGGUGUGGGCAAUCAUUUGAGUUCUAUGAUGCAAAGGGAAUAUGGAGUUGGACCACUACCUCUUACACCUAAUUUAGCAAAUGGACAGCCAAAGGAACAAAUACCUCUUAGGCCUCUAAUAUUCAAUGGAGAAUCGGAGAAAAUAUAUCAAGUCCUCGAGAGGAGAUAGCUUUGGGCGUGGCGUGGUGUCGCUACCUGGCAGCCCACGUGGAAACAACUCCUCGGGGCCUGUCGUAGUAGGGUCAGCAGUGAGCCUGGUUACAAGGGUGUUAACAGAACAGGGUCUGGGU